rnacentral:rRNA from 1 species
AACGAACGCUGGCGGCAUGCCUAACACAUGCAAGUCGAACGAGACCGUCGGGCCUAUUGGCGCACGGGUGCUUAACGCGUGGUAAGCUGCCCGUAGGUUCGGAAUAACUCCCCGAAAGGGGUGCUAAUACCGGAGAAGGUCUUCGGGCCAAAGAGUUUUCGCCGUUGGGUGGGCCCGGGUUGGAUUAGGUAGUUGGUAGGGUAAAAGCAUACCAAGGCGACGAUGCAUAGCUGGUCUGAGAGGAUGAUCAGCCACACUGGGACUGAGACACGGCCCAGACUCCUACGGGAGGGAGGAGUGGGGAAUAUUGGAGAAUGGGCGAAGGCCUGACACAGCAAUGCCGCGUAAGUGAUGCAGGCCUUAGGGUUGUAAAGCUCUUUUACACGGGAUGAUAAUGACAGUACCGGGAAAAUAAGCACCGGCUAACUACGUG